CCCAGCAGCCGCGGUAAUUCCAGCUCCAAUAGCGUAUAUUAAAGUUGUUGUGGUUAAAAAGCUCGUAGUUGAACCUUGGGCCUGGCUGGCCGGUCCGCCUCACCGCGUGUACUGGUCCGGCCGGGCCUUUCCCUCUGUGGAACCCCAUGCCCUUCACUGGGUGUGGCGGGGAAACAGGACUUUUACUGUGAAAAAAUUAGAGUGCUCCAGGCAGGCCUAUGCUCGAAUACAUUAGCAUGGAAUAAUAGAAUAGGACGUGUGGUUCUAUUUUGUUGGUUUCUAGGACCGCCGUAAUGAUUAAUAGGGACAGUCGGGGGCAUCAGUAUUCAAUUGUCAGAGGUGAAAUUCUUGGAUUUAUUGAAGACUAACUACUGCGAAAGCAUUUGCCAAGGAUGUUUUCAUUAAUCAGGAACGAAAGUUAGGGGAUCGAAGACGAUCAGAUACCGUCGUAGUCUUAACCAUAAACUAUGCCGACUAGGGAUCGGACGGUGUUAUUUUUUGACCCGUUCGGCACCUUACGAGAAAUCAAAGUGCUUGGGCUCCAGGGGGAGUAUGGUCGCAAGGCUGAAACUUAAAGAAAUUGACGGAAGGGCACCACCAGGGGUGGAGCCUGCGGCUUAAUUUGACUCAACACGGGGAAACUCACCAGGUCCAGACACAAUGAGGAUUGACAGAUUGAGAGCUCUUUCUUGAUUUUGUGGGUGGUGGUGCAUGGCCGUUCUUAGUUGGUGGAGUGAUUUGUCUGCUUAAUUGCGAUAACGAACGAGACCUUAACCUGCUAAAUAGCCCGUAUUGCUUUGGCAGUACGCUGGCUUCUUAGAGGGACUAUCGGCUCAAGCCGAUGGAAGUUUGAGGCAAUAACAGGUCUGUGAUG
rnacentral:rRNA from 1 species